rnacentral:lncRNA from 1 species
AGAGUAUUGCCUGACAACUUUGGACACUGAACUUUUUGCAGAGUUUAGCUCUGUCUAGGAUUAUGGAUAGAAUGUCAGAGAUGAAAGGCAUUUUGAGAGUCUUUGGUUUGGGUUGAGUUCGACCAUUUAAAGAUGGUGAUAUUCAACUGUUUUUGAUCUACAAAAAUAGCAGUUUCAUAUGGCUCAACCUAAUAGUUACCAUUCAUUCCAAGUACUUGGCACCAAGGCUCAGAAAGCGAAUGGAAAGAGAUUCUUGAGAAAGGCGACCCACACACGCGCACAAGAAAACAUCAGCACUCAUGCAGGAACAACGAGAGGCCAUAGGGAAGUAUUUUUAGCAAGUGGAAGUCAAUCACAGCAGGGAGAGAAGAGGGGUGGGUAAAGAAGGGGCCUGGAGCCUCGCAAGUAAGCCCAGAGCCCUGCAGUG